rnacentral:lncRNA from 1 species
AAGAUUAGUGAAUGAGAAGAAGAAAGAAAAGAGAAAUAUAUCUAAUAGCAAUAAUAUACAUUACUUCCUCUGGAACAGCUUGUGUCGGUAUAUUACUCUGCAACUGCUUCGUUCCUUCACCGAGUAAAGGUUAUCUCUCUAUAAAUUUUGCCUAUUUAUAACAUAAAUCAUAAAUUUUCAUUCUUAGAUCUUAGGUCCACAGGGUUAAGCUAUGGAGGUGACA